UACGUAGGGGGCAAGCGUUGUCCGGAUUUAUUGGGCGUAAAGAGCGUGUAGGCGGCCUGACAGGUCUGCUGUGAAAACUCGAGGCUCAACCUCGAGAUGUCGGCGGAAACCGUCUGGCUAGAGUCCGGAAGAGGAGAGUGGAAUCCUGGUGUAGCGGUGAAAUGCGCAGAUAUCAGGAGGAACACCGGUGGCGAAGGCGGUUCUCUGGGAAUGUCCUGACGCUGAGGAGCGAAAGUGUGGGGAGGCGAACAGG
rnacentral:rRNA from 1 species